AAUAACUGUGCGCCGAAUCCCUUUGGGGAGCGGGGGAUCCAUCGUUGUUGAGGUGCACUCGCCUAAGGCGAGAGGGUAUCUUUCAACCCUAACCUGUCAGCUAACCUCGUAGGCAAUGGAAGAGGCAGA
rnacentral:sRNA from 2 species